UACGUAGGGUCCGAGCGUUGUCCGGAAUUAUUGGGCGUAAAGAGCUCGUAGGUGGUGUGUCGCGUCGGAUGUGAAAGCCCGGGGCUUAACCCCGGGUCUGCAUUCGGUACGGGCAUGCUGGAGUUCGGUAGGGGAGACUGGAAUUCCUGGUGUAGCGGUGAAAUGCGCAGAUAUCAGGAGGAACACCGGUGGCGAAGGCGGCGUCCUGGACCAACACUGACACUGAGGAGCGAAAGCCAGGGGAGCAAACGGG
rnacentral:rRNA from 1 species